CACCUCGACUUGAGACUCUACCUCCGUCUGUUCCUCAGAACGACCUGGCCGUGCGGGGGGGAGCACCAAAAGGCGAAGAGGAAAAGUUUCCUCUCUGGAAAGCUUUGACUGGGAAGGGGUGUGAAUCAAACCAGAAGACUGGCAUGUGGCAUUGCUAGAUCCUGUAAUGUGUGAGUCAGAGACACCCUGGAGACCCGUUACCUGAGGCACACCAGCAGGGAACUGAAUCAGAAGUGGAGCAUCCAGAACUUAAACUGGAACCCAUAUGGAUGCUGACACAGCAGGCA